rnacentral:snRNA from 1 species
GUGCUUGCUUCGGCAGCACAUAUACUAAAAUUAGAAAGAUACAGAGAAGAUUGGCAUGACCCCUGUGCAAGGAUGACAUGCAAAUUCGUGAAGUGUUCCAUAUUGUU